rnacentral:rRNA from 1 species
GACGAACGCUGGCGGCGUGCCUAAUACAUGCAAGUCGAGCGGAUCUUGAGAAGCUUGCUUCUCUUGAUUAGCGGCGGACGGGUGAGUAACACGUGGGCAACCUGCCUGUAAGACUGGGAUAACUUCGGGAAACCGGAGCUAAUACCGGAUAAUCCUUUUUGACUCAUGUCAGAAAGCUGAAAGACGGCGUAAGCUGUCACUUACAGAUGGGCCCGCGGCGCAUUAGCUAGUUGGUGGGGUAACGGCCCACCAAGGCGACGAUGCGUAGCCGACCUGAGAGCGUGAUCGGCCACGCUGGGAGUGAGACACGGCCCAGACUCAUACGGGAGGCAGCAGUAGGGAAUCUUCCGCAAUGGAAGAAAGUCUGACGGAGCAACGCCGCGUGAGCGAAGAAGGCCUUCGGGUCGUAAAGCUCUGUUGUCAGGGAAGAACAAGUACCGGAGUAACUGCCGGUACCUUGACGGUACCUGACCAGAAAGCCACGGCUAACUACGUGCCAGCCGCCGCGGUAAAAC